CGCCUAGUGGCGCAACACGGUGGCUUUGGGGGUGCAGGCAUAUACCGCGAACCAUGUUGGUACCACCGGACAUGAUCACCGUGCAGUCGAAGACGAUCUACCAGAUUAACAAGUACUACGCGGAGAAGGUGCAGGUGCGCAUGGGCAACAUCGCCAUCGUGCUGCGCGAGAUCUGCAAGAUCGUGCAGGAGGUGCUGCGCGAGGUGGAGGUACAGGAGCCGAGGUUUAUCUCCAGCCUGGUGGAGUGCAAUGGCCGGUUCGAAGGCCUGGAGGUGAUAUCGCCGACGGCUUUCGAGGUCGUGCUGUACCUCAACCAGAUGGGUGUGUUCAACUUCGUCGACGACGGAUCACUCCCCGGUGCGGCGGUGCUGAAGCUGAGCGACGGCCGCAAGCGCUCCAUGUCGCUGUGGGUCGAGUUCAUAACCGCGUCCGGUUAUCUGUCCGCCCGGAAGAUCCGGUCCCGGUUCCACACGCUCGUCGCCCAGGCGGUGGAGAAGUGCCCGUACCGGGACAUGGUGAAGCUCGUGCCGGACACGACCGAGGUGAAGUUGCGCAUCCGGGAACGGUACACCGUCCAGAUAACGCCCGCGUUCAAGUGCACCGGCAUCUGGCCACGGUCCGCCGCCCACUGGCCGAUCCUCAACAUACCCUGGCCCCAUCCCGCGCUCGUCGCGGAGGUUAAAACCGAAGGGUUCGAUCUGCUGUCGAAGGAGAGUGUCAUCCUGCAGGGGAAGAACGCUAACGUCGAAGGUGACGCUUGGUUGCUGCACUUCACCGAGGCGGAGAAUCGGUUGCUGCAGGGCGGCUACCGGAAGCGUUGCCUCAGCAUCCUCAAGACGCUGUGCGACCGGCAUCUGGAUCUACCCGGCGCACCGAUCGGGUACUACCACCUGAAGACGCUACUGCUGUACGAGUGUGAGAAGCAUCCGCGCGAAACGGAGUGGGAUGCGGGCUGUGUGGCGGAUCGUUUGAACGGCAUCUUUCUGCAGCUGAUCUCCUGCCUGCAGUGUCGCCGGUGUCCGCACUACUUCCUCCCAAGCCUGGACCUGUUCAAGGGCAAAUCGCCGACGGCACUGGACAACGCGUCCAAGCACGUGUGGCGCCUCUGCCGGGACAUACUAACCAGCAGCAAAGCGUUCGAUCGGCUGUAGUAGUGCACAGGAUCGGCCCCCUGUCGACCAUAUCAGCAGCGGAACGAGCCGUUGCGAGUGUCGCUUGGACACACACAUUUCAAGCCGCCAACCCGGGGACGUUAAACGGACCCGUUGUACGCGGUAGUAUACGAGACGGUUGGGAAGACGAGUGUGUAGUGGUUGGCGAAAACGCUUAACGUUAUAAACGUUGCCAGCAAGAGGAGAACGAGCCGAAAACAAACGUUGUAUACGAUGUGUCUGCCUUAGUUUUGUGGUUUGUUUGCUAAAGUGACUUCCUAAAUCAAUCGCUAGUGUACGGAGUAAACGAGUGAGCAGUAUACUAGGACGCGUACGCACGUGACGUGCGUGAGUUAGUUGCUUCUCUUUAGAGGAUUCUGUUUCUGUUUCCAAUCCGAAAUAAAGGUCAUAUUACACUAGUGACAUUGUGCGUGAUAUCUUGGGUUAGGUGUUUAAGGUGUCCUUGUUGCCAUUACUUGGGUUGCUUCCAGGGUGUUGUGGUGCGAAAAAAAACACACCGUUUUUAAUCGGUUUAAUUAAAGGUGCAAGUCAAAAAACAGUACCCAUCGGUAUCGGUUUGUUUCGUGAAUUUUGUGUGUAAAUAUUAAGAGAAAACGAAACAAUCACUUUGCCAACGGGAAAUGUGUUAAGUUGGGGCUCUGUAAUCGCUUAUGUAUGGAAGUAAAUCGUAUUUUGUGAAACAAGGGAAAUUUUUGAUGACAUUCUUAAACAAAACAUUUACUUAAAUGACAUUUAGGCAAAAAAGGACGAUUAAGGUGCGUCUAAACGAUAGAAUUAAAAAAAAAUAAACUCGAAUUGAUUUUGUAAUUUAUAAUAUUAUUUAUUUCGGGAAACUACUGCUCAGUAUUGGCGUCUGAUAAAUUAUUAUAUUAGAUUCGUUACAAGUGAUUAAUCAUCCACAUGGAAACACAGUACUAUU